AGGAUCUGUUUUGCAUGUGGUGAUGAACACAAAAGCAAUCGACAUUGCAAUUUUCAAGGCGCUAGAUAAACACUUUUGACCUUCCAUAAUUGCUGCGUAAUUACUUUUCGGCCUUUGUGGAUCGUGUAAUAAUAAGGGAGUUCCGACCGAGUGGUUUGAAUUACAACAGAAUUGUUCCCUGUUAAAAGGAUCGGUCUGAGACUGAAAAGUUUAGAGGUCACUCUUCAUGUACCAAGUUCCUUGCGGAAAAAAGAUUACACAAGAUCGACGAGAAUGAAUAGAAAAGCAGUUUGUGUUUUUCUUCUAGCGAUGCUGGUUGUAUCAAUGGUCAGUGCCGCGGGACCGGGUCAACCUAAUCGCCAUGGAAAGAGAACGGACUCAAUGAGUCUGAUCAGGAAGAGGGAGUACUGUGUUCGCGCCAGGAUGAUUUGUAAUUCUGCAGAAGAACUUCAAGAUGAACCCGCACUACCAGCUUUUGAGAGCGAAUAAAUACGAGUGCAAAUCAAAACAAUUGCAAUGUCAAAUUCUUUUAACUCAAAUAGUUGUGAUAUGCAAACAGAAUUGUAAAGUUAUCUCUUCAAUAAAUCAUUCCUCAUACGUCA